UANGACCGCGGCCGUCAUGCCCCACACAGCAAGUCAAACGAGACUUUCGGGUCUAUGGCCUCUAGGGUGCCGUACCACGUGGAAUCAUCCCCUUAGGUACUGGAGUAACACCGUAAGAAUUGCCGUAUGGNCGUAAGACGUCGUAAACCUCAACGAUUUAUCGUCUAACGGAUGAGCCCCGCGUAGGAAUAGNUUUUUGGUGAAAUAUAAGUCUCACCAAGGCGACGAUUCUUAAUUGGUAUCAGAUGAUGAUCAGUCACCCGGGGGCUGAGACACGGCCCAUCCUCGUUUGAGACGCAGCAGUGCGGAAUUAAGUUCAAAGGCCGAAAGCCUGCUCCUUCAACUCCGUAUGAGUGAUCAAGGCUAUAGGCUUGUAAAUCUCUGUGGCCCGUGACGAUAAUGACUGCCCGGGGAGAAUUAGCGCCGCCUUCCUUCUUUUCAGCAGUCGCGGUAAUACGGAGGGGGCUACCGUUGUUCGGAAUUAGGGGCUAAAGCGCACGUAGGCGCCUUUGUAAGUUAGAGGUGAAACCCCGGGUCUCAACCCCGGAAUGGCCUUUUAGCCUUCAUCGCUUGAAUGUCGGAGAGGUGAGUGGAAUUCCGAGUGUAGAGGUGAAAUUUGUAGAUAUUCGGAAGAACACCAGUGGCGAAGGCGGCUCACUGGACGACUGUUGAUCGCUGAGGUUCGAAAGCGUGGGGAGCAAACAGGAUUAGAUCCCCUGGUAGUCCACGCCGUAAACGAGGAUAACACGCUGUCUGGGCUUUUGGAGCUUAGGUGGCGCAGCUAAUGCAUUAAGUUAUC
rnacentral:rRNA from 1 species